CCGCCCUCGGGCCCCGGGGAGCGGCUGGAGGCCCAGGAGAAGGUGCACGUCAUCUGGAACCGGCUGAAGCUGCUCCUCAGGGAGGUGAACGUCGACCUGGAGGAGCUGGAGAGGAGGCUGGAGGAGGCCGGCCAGGGGAAGCAGGAGUCGCUGUCCCACGUGAACAAAGCCCACCUGUCGGGAACCCCUCGUCCCGUCUCCCUAGGGUCCGUCCCCAACCGGCGACGACUGCCCCGGGGCAAAAGUAGUCAGGCCCGCGCAGGAUACCCCAGCAGAGGCCCCCGCCACAGGUACCAAUUGCCCUGGACUCUCUAGAACCCGGGGAGGGUAACGGAACCGCACGCACCCCCAACUGGAUCCCCCAGCUCGAACCUCAACCUAGAACCCCAUCCUAUCUGCCACUUCUUAACUCAAUCAAAUCUAAACUAAACUGCCAAACAAACUAAACGUCCAAUCACGAAAUCAAUCUGUCUAUCAUCAAAAAGAUGAUUUUGAUUACUGUUGAUUUUCCCUUUGCGACUCCGCCGAGAUUGUCAAAUGUCGGAGUGGUCUCUCUCCCUCCCCCCCCUCCUCAGCGUGCGUUCCAUGACCCUCCCUCGUUCUAGAAGCCUCCUUACUGGCUGUUUUCAUGAGCUGGGAUUGGCUGAUCCAUGGGCCAGCUCCCUGUCAUGUUGUGAACUGUCUCUCUGUCGUUUUGAUGUGCUGUGCACUGCCUUGACCUGCUGCUCCCUCCCUCUGCGGAAUGGCACCAUCACCCCCAUCAUUCCCAUCCUACUUUGGGUUUUCCUUUUCCCUUUUGUUGCUUCUCGUUUGGGGAAAUCUGUGUUGUGUUGUAGUGCUGUCCUUCGCCCACCAGGUGGCGGUGUGCGAGUCCUCACACCCACAGCCUCCCCCCUGCUUCUGUCCCCUGUGUAUCCUUCCCCCCCGUGGCUCCAGCCAUGACUCUUCUGUCACUUCUCUCUCCACACACAGAGCCGCACUUACAGUUUUGGGGAUCAUGUUGGGAAGAGUGCCGAUACAUACUGGUUCUGCUGUGGCCAGCGCCUUGGGCUGGUGCUGUUGAUCCUAUCACCAGUCCUGACCGGUCCCACCCUCCAAGUCACUCCACCGCUGAUUCCAAAACAUCACGUUUAAUUAGUAUUUUGGACGUGUAGAAAUGACGACGUGGUCAAAAGCUACUAAUUAGGCACAUUGUCUAGGGCUAGGGUUAGGGAAAACAAACGGGUUAGGGUUAGGGUUAACCCUUAGUGUUAGAGAGAGAGAGAGAGAGAGAGAGAGAAACGGGUUAGGGUUAACCCUUAACCUAACCCGUUUGUUUUUAGGGUUAGGGUUAACCCUUAGGGUUAGAGAGAGAGAGAGAGAGACAGAGAAACGGGUUAGGGUUAACCCUUAACCUAACCCAUUUGUUUUUAGGGUUAGGGUUACCCUAAGCCGUUUGUUCUGAGCUCCAGGGUCCUGCGUGGAGCAGUGUGUGUCUGCGCAGCCUGAGAAGCGGUGGCCUUGGACGGCCUCUCUGGGCUGAGCAGCAUGACAUGGGGACGACAGGAGAGGCCUUCCUUGAUUGGCUCCUCUCCCGAGCAAAUCCCUCGUCACCGCUGGCUGCGCUUCCUCCCGUUCUGACCGGACGGGCGGCCUCUGGACCUCCUCCUCCCCUCCGGCGGGCCCCUCCUUCCUGCUCCGCGUGCUGCGUGCGGCGCUGCCGGUUCACCUCCUCCUGCUGCUGAUCCUCGGCCUCGCCUGCCUCGUGCCCAUGAGCCAGGAGGACUACAGCUGCCACCACGCCAACAACUUCGCCCGCUCCUUCCAUCCCAUGCUGAGCUACACCAACGGACCUCCGCCUAUAUGAGGCGCCUCCCCCAUCAAGGACCCCGAAGUCACCUGUACCGGGACCACACCCCCUCUAUGAGGACCGCCCCCCACGACCAUAUAUGGACCAGACAUCCGCCCAGUCCAUCGUGGCCUCUGUUCCGUGUGAGGACCGGACAGCCGCCCGUGUACGGGCAGAACUCUCCGCCCGUAUAAGGACUGUCCCUCCGCAGCUAGCUACCAGCUUUGCCAAGGACUCCGACACUCUGACUAGUAUGAAUGUUCCCUGUUCUUUCCCUGCAGGACCCCCGACUCCCACUCUCCCGACCCCAACUCCACGACCCCACCUCCCCUCCACCCCCACGCUGGGAGCAUAUGAAAUCCGAUGGAGUGUCUCCACCAGUAACACAAUGAGAACCAGUCCAUUAGAGCGUUCUGGGGCCAGUUGACUGAGGCCCUAGCGUCUCCAGGGUGAAGGGACUCAAGCCUCCUCCAUCCGAAUAAUAGCAGUUGUUUUUUUAUUCUUUCUUCGGAAAAAUGAAGUAUAUUAUUUUUGACGUAUUUUUUAUUUCUACGGUUGAAUCACAGAGCACUAUUUAUAUACAACCGCGUGCUGGGAGCCAAAGUCCACGGCGCUGUUCGUACUUCAGUGCUGCUACUAUUUAUUUUUUUCCGUUCGAUUGGAUUUGAAGAUUUGUUUGAUUUCACGAGGACACAGCACAGACUGUGGGAGAUUCUACCUGUAAAUCGUAGUUUAGGUAAAGUAUCAAACAUUCAUCUCUUUGAAGAGUUUCCAAAAUGAGAACUUUUCAAAAUUGACAUCAUGGUAAAAUCUUGCGAUUUUGAACACCGAGUGAUCCAAUGCCUUCGGAAUCGGCCGACGAUUUCUGAUGGACGCACUUUGUAUUUAAAAGAAAUGGCUGCCGUUAUUUUAUUUUGUUCCCGAGAUUUACAAAACUUUCGGAGACAAACUCAUCAUGGAAGGUAGCCGAUAGCUGAACCCUAACGCACUGAAACGAGCGCCUGAUUAUGGUUCCUCACCGAAGCCGUCCAGUCUUCCCCCAAGACAGCCAAAUGCUGGUGUCCCUGUUUUGAUCUCCUUUUAUAUCCAUUCUAGUAUUUCAAUAUUUAAUCACGUAGGGCAAACCUCGACACGCAGGAUGAGAUUCCGUUUAUUUUAUUUCUAUCGGUGAUUCAAAUGCCCCGCAAAACGCGGGCAGUUAUUUUUUUACCUUUUUAGUUCGAGCAUGCACUUCUGCAAGUCCUUUCUGCUUUUUAAGUUCGCCAACCAAUCACGGUCUGUGUACGGAGACGGAGGUGCGGAGGCGGGCGAAAAACAAUGCUUGGUGCUUUGUUACCGUGAGGACGACACCUCUGACGCGAUGGAGAUAUCUAGUCUGCGCUGUUUGAAACUGUAAAAAGAAACAUAAAAAAAAAAAAAGCCCGGACAUGGAAAUGGUUAUUUAUGUAUGUACAGUUUGCUAAUGCUGAAAUCAUGAAGAAUGUUCUUUACAUAUAGUAAAAAAAUAUAUAAAAUACACGUUUUCAGACUUGUUUUUGGCUGAGGAGACUAUUUCGAAUGAGGUAGCGAAACAAGGUCUGCAACAAUUUCACUAUUAGGACCUUUAUUUUAAUAAACAGUAAACAACACUCAUGUGGGAUCAACGGACACUAAAGUAGGUUUCUCUUUACACUCGCAGCCAAAGUGACUUCACUUUGGCCGUGAGUGAUUGCUAGCCGCAUCAAACGGCUAGCAAGGCACAGUAGUCAAAACAGCAAACUGGCACAGAUAUUGGGGACCAACAUGAAACUCAGACAAGCAACUUCAAAAAGAUGACCAAUUAUCAUUCAAUGGUGCAC
ensembl:lncRNA